rnacentral:rRNA from 1 species
UUACGGGAGGCAGCAGUGGGGAAUAUUGGACAAUGGGCGAAAGCCUGAUCCAGCAAUGCCGCGUGAGUGAAGAAGGCCUUAGGGUUGUAAAGCUCUUUCACCCGCGACGAUGAUGACGGUAGCGGGAGAAGAAGCCCCGGCUAAUUCCGUGCCAGCAGCCGCGGUAAUACGGAAGGGGCUAGCGUUGUUCGGAAUCACUGGGCGUAAAGCGCGCGUAGGCGGCCGGUCAAGUGCGGCGUGAAAGUCCUGGGCUCAACCCGGGGACGGCGCUGCGGACUGUCCGGCUGGAGUCCGGAAGAGGGUGGUGGAAUUCCGAGUGUAGAGGUGAAAUUCGUAGAUAUUCGGAGGAACACCGGUGGCGAAGGCGGCCACCUGGUCCGGUACUGACGCUCAAGCGCGAAAGCGUGGGGAGCAAACAGGCUUAGAUACCCUGGUAGU